ACGAACGCUGGCGGCAUGCCUAACACAUGCAAGUCGAACGAGACCUUCGGGUCUAGUGGCGCACGGGUGCGUAACGCGUGGGAACCUGCCCUUAGGUUCGGAAUAACUCCCCGAAAGGGGUGCUAAUACCGGAUAAUGUCUUCGGACCAAAGAUCUAUCGCCUUUGGAUGGGCCCGCGUUGGAUUAGCUAGUUGGUAGGGUAAAAGCCUACCAAGGCGACGAUCCAUAGCUGGUCUGAGAGGAUGAUCAGCCACACUGGGACUGAGACACGGCCCAGACUCCUACGGGAGGCAGCAGUGGGGAAUAUUGGACAAUGGGCGAAAGCCUGAUCCAGCAAUGCCGCGUGAGUGAUGAAGGCCUUAGGGUUGUAAAGCUCUUUUACCCGGGAUGAUAAUGACAGUACCGGGAGAAUAAGCUCCGGCUAACUCCGUG
rnacentral:rRNA from 1 species